rnacentral:rRNA from 1 species
UGCAAGCGUUAAUCGGAAUCACUGGGCGUAAAGGGUGCGUAGGCGGUACGUUAGGUCUGUCGUGAAAUCCCCGGGCUCAACCUGGGAAUGGCGGUGGAAACCGGUGUACUAGAGUAUGGGAGAGGGUGGUGGAAUUCCAGGUGUAGCGGUGAAAUGCGUAGAGAUCUGGAGGAACAUCAGUGGCGAAGGCGGCCACCUGGCCCAAUACUGACGCUGAGGCACGAAAGCGUGGGGAGCAAACAGGAUUAGAUACCCUGGUAGUCCACGCCCUAAACGAUGAAUACUAGAUGUUUGGUGCCUAGCGUACUGAGUGUCGUAGCUAACGCGAAAAUAUUCCGCCUGGAANACGCCGC